rnacentral:rRNA from 1 species
UUUUAUUUGAGAGUUUGAUCCUGGCUCAGGAUGAACGCUGGCGGCGUGCCUAACACAUGCAAGUUGAGCGAUUUACUUCGGUAAAGAGCGGCGGACGGGUGAGUAACGCGUGGGUAACCUACCCUGUACACACGGAUAACAUACCGAAAGGUAUGCUAAUACGGGAUAAUAUAUUUGAGAGGCAUCUCUUAAAUAUCAAAGGUGAGCCAGUACAGGAUGGACCCGCGUCUGAUUAGCUAGUUGGUAAGGUAACGGCUUACCAAGGCGACGAUCAGUAGCCGACCUGAGAGGGUGAUCGGCCACAUUGGAACUGAGACACGGUCCAAACUCCUACGGGAGGCAGCAGUGGGGAAUAUUGCACAAUGGGCGAAAGCCGGAUGCAGCAACGCCGCGUGAGUGAUGAAGGCCGUCGGGUCGUAAAACUCUGUCCUCAAGGAAGAUAAUGACGGUACUUGAGGAGGAAGCCCCGGCUAACUACGUGCCAGCAGCCGCGGUAAUACGUA